UUUGACUUUAUUUAAAAGGAAAAUAGAAAUUUUCUUGAGAAAAUUUUUUAACAGGGUCUUUUUGGGCUUUUUCUCUGCUUUUAUAUAAAUUGUAAUGUAGGGUUUGAUUAGGCGUGUACGGUCUUUCUCUUUUUACUUUUUGGUGGUGGUUGAUUGCUGGGGAGGUUUUGGAUUUUAUUUUAUAUCAGAUUGAAGUUGUGCAUUAAAAUAUUUUUAGAUGAUUUUAUUAUUUGGAUUUGGUUAGAAGAAACAAGGUGAAUUUGUGGGGUAAAGGAUAUUUAUGAGAAAAAAAAUAUGAUUCUGGUUAGAAUUUGAGUUUUUUAUGUUCUGAAUUUUGAUUAUUAGUGUUUAUGUUAUUGAUAGGAUUGAUUGCUUGAAAACUUUUCUCCCUUUUGAGGAAUAUUUUCUCCUGAGUUUGUUUCCUUGCUCUCUUCCUUGGUUGUCAAGAAAGAGGAACGGUUCUAGAACAGCAUACGCCUACCUCUAUGCAUCAAGCACUUGGAUCUCUUGGUAUGAGUAUGACAAGGCUCUUGAAUUUGAGAAUUCGCGAUGCCAAUCUUACAAGUGAGAUAAAGUCGUAAAAGGGUUUGUCUCACGUACCUUUUUAUUGACAGUAAAAUGAGUUUCUGCCUAUUUAAUUCCAAAUACUACACCUUGCAAUGCCUUACAAAAACUAGGUGAUAUCUGAAACUCCUUCGAUCAGGGAAAAUAUGAUGAAGUAGGUGUAAAGGGAAGGUCAUUGGGAUUACAGAGAGAGGCGUAGAUGACAUACUAAUGGUGUAGAAACAGAGAAGAUGUUGGGAUUGCAGUGCCAAAGUGAAGCGACUAUCAAUAGGCCUUGGAACAGAUGGAUCUAGGAGGCAGACUUUUGGUGCAUGCGUAACUUUGUAUCAAAAAAACUAAAUGUGACNNNNNNNNNNNNNNNNNNNNNNNNNNNNNNNNNNNNNNNNNNNNNNNNNNNNNNNNNNNNNNNNNNNNNNNNNNNNNNNNNNNNNNNNNNNNNNNNNNNNGCUACUUGGCACUUGCUAGUGCCUUUUUUGACACACCAAUCUUCAUAGGGAGUGACAGGAUUGGAAACUUUGGAAUGUCGGUCCUUUGGGAGAUCAUAGGAGAGUGAAGUGGAAAUAGAUUCUUCAUGCUUUUUGCUCAAAAUAAAAUUUGCUUCUGUGUUUUGCCAUUUCUUGUAUAUCACUCUUCUGUCAUAAAUAUGGUGUUAUGUAUCUGAAUAAGGUGCCUGCUUGCUCUGUUAUUUGCGCCUCUGGGGAGUUAUCCCAGGCCUGGUUCGAUUGUUUCCUUGGACUUUGAACACCCCUUUUCAUCUUUCUUCCAUUUUUUUUGUCUUUAAAAACAUGGUUAUAUUAUUGUUGGUCUUUUCUUUUAUUAGCAUCCUCCACUUUUGAUGAUAGAGUGAUUUUGAUCAUGAAUGCCUUGAAUUGGUAUAGUGCCUAAAUGUCCCUUCCAGUUUUAUAGAUAUGUAAAUGAUGUCUUCUUGUUUGUCUAGGAAACCAAAAGUUUUUGUUUUUUGUUGAGCUUUGAAACAAAGGUUUUGUUCUUGUAGUGCCACAAUGGACACACACUCUGUUCAAGCUGUAAAGCAAGGGUACUCAACAAAUGUCCCGGUUGUAGGCAGCAGCUCGGUAAUAUAAGGUGUCUAGCUCUGGAGAAGAUGGCCAAAUCACUUGAACUGCAUUGCAAGUAUGAGGAGUUUGGAUGCCCUGAGAUCAUCCCUUACCACACCAAGCUCAUGCAUGAAGACUCGUGUAACUUCCGGCCAUACAGCUGCCCAUGGUAUGGAUGUCCGUGCUCUGCUGUUGGGGAUAUUCCACUCCUUGUUUCUCACCUGACAGAUUAUCACAAGGCAGUCAUGUUCAAUAGCUGCAACUUUAAGCAUGGAUUUUUAAUUGGAGAUCUCUAUAAAAACCCAGGCCGCAGAUGGAUAGUAAUUGUAAGUACUUUUUUUACAUUGCCAUAAAUUUAGAUUCAUAAAACGUAACCUUUAGAUAAGCACCUUGGCACCAUACAUUAAGAGAGUGAUGCCAAAAACAGUGCAUACAUGAUUCACAGGCUACUGAAAAACAGUCCCAGUAGGAUUACAUGGUUGGUUGUUGGAUUAUGGCAAAUAACAGAACUUUCUCUUUUGCCUUUUCAGAUCAUCAAUUGUUUUGACAAACACUUCUGUCUCCAUGCUGAAGCCUUCCUUAUAGGGUCGACUCCCGUUUACAUGGCAUUCCUCAGCCUGAUAGGCAACCAUGCAGAGGCCGGCAACUACAGCUACAGCCUGCAGAUAGGGGGAAAUGGGCGGAAGCUUACUUUUGAGGGCGUCCCACAAAGCAUUAGAGAGAGUGAGAGGAGGAGUUUGGAGAGUGCGGACAGCCUCAUUGUGCCGGGAGGCAUGGUGCAUUCCUUGGGAGGGGAGACGAGAGAGCCAAAACUUGAAAUUACAAGUCGGAUAUGGAAAACCCAGUGUGGAUAAAAGUAUAAAACAGGUUGAUUGAUUGAUAUAAGGGUUUUUGAAAUUCAUCCCUCUCUCUGUAAACAAAGACGAAGAAGACAUGAGUAGAAUAUGAAAGAAUUGGUUGGGUAGAUUCGUGGAUUGAAUUAAUACAAUACAUGAUAUAAAAAUUCUUGAUUUUACAAAUAUUUAUAUUAUUUUUUCCAUAUAUUUAUGCUAAAAGAUAAAGAUAAGAUGAUCAUAUAAAAUGAUAAUAUAAUUUUCACAUUUUAAAAAAUAUCGGCUUAAUCUUAGAAUAAUAUAAUAUUUAAUAUUUUUAAGAAUAAUUUUUAUAUCUAUUAUUUUAUUUUUAAUCAUUUUAUAUAUUUAUAUAAUUAAUUUUUAAAAUAACCUUUAAAAAAUAAGUAAAAAUAGUUCAAAAAUAUUAUUAAAAAAAGACAGUAGAAAAUAAUUUUUCAUUGUUAAAUAUAUUUUCUUGUUUUUUGAAGAUAAUAAAAAAUUGUUUUAGAAAUCGAUUAUCGUCGUUCUUAAUUUUAUAUUUUUAUUUUUCAAUAAAAACUUUGGUAAGGAGUAUUUUACCAAAAAAAUAUUAAAUAGUUAUAUUUUAAGAAACAUGGAGGUUGCUCUCUUGGAUACGUAGGAAAAAAAAUUAUUAUAUAUAUAUAUAUAUAUAUAUAUAUAUAUAUAUUAUGUUUUUAAAAGAUAGCGAUUAUUUUUGAAUUUCAUCUAAUUCAUUGUAUUUCUUAUUAUUUUAAUAUUAUAAUUAUAUUUUUUAUAGUUUGAUUUUUUUUAAAUAAUUAUACAAUAUCUUUCUAAAUUAAUUUUAAAAAUAUUUUUUAAAAGAUACGCUUAAGUCUUAACUAACAUUGUAAUAUCAUGUUUAUCAUUAAAAUACAAAAGGAUUUAUAAACAAUUUAUAUUUUCUUAUUGUAAAAGGAUUUCUACUCAACAAGAAUGGUAACUAUAGACUUAUUCCUAUUCAAGUAUUGGUUUGCUCUUCUAUAAAUAAGAACAGAACAACUCUCACUCAGAGGUGAAUCAAAUCAAGAGAGAAAAAGGGAAAAAAAAACCAAUCUCUCCACAGUUCCUCUCUAGUCUCUGUAGAAUUGAGGCGUUGGGUGAAUGGGAAACCGCGUCGCAGAUCUUCACUCCCUAACCACGUUCCAGGAGCUGCUCAAGUGCCCCGUUUGCUUCAACUUUAUGCCGUCUCCAAUUUAUCAGGUUUGCUUUUUGAUCGAUUUUGCUUCAUGUGUUCUUUUCUCUCUAAGUUUAGUUGUUUUUCUUUCACUUUUUUUAACAGGGUCUUUUCGGGUUUUUUCUCUGCUUUUAUAUAAAUUGUAAUGUUGGGUUUUAUCUGCAAUGAAACAUGUAGAAUUCAUACAUAUAUCCUAUGAUCAAUGUAGAGAUACAUGAACAAAAAGGACUAGAUAAAAAUGUAAAAACGGGUAUCAAAACUAAGGUAAAAGUAGCUGUAGAUUUGAUUAUCCUUAAGUUGGUUUACACAACUUCUAACAGCAACCAGCCACUGAAAUUAGCCAACUAUACAUAGUGCCACUCCACAACCCCAUGAUCCUAUCUAUACAAAACAUAUCACCUUAAGCACAUGAGGCAAUCAAGCUGAACUUUGUGCUCUGUUCGGUAGCUGCAGAAACGUAGAUGAUCAUAUAAAUCAAUGAAAGAAGAAUUCCAAAAUUUAAAGCAUGAUAACAAAAUGAAACUCUUUCUAAGUUCAUUAUUCAGUUUGAAAUUUGUAUGAUUACUUAAGAAUACUUGGUCCUCCACUUGGUUUUGGGAUGAAUGAAGGAGAGUAGAGCAUUAAGAAGAAGAUGAUGAAUGAAUGACAAAGAAGUGAACUUACCUGAAAUCGUUCAGCUGCCAAAGGGUCACUGGGAUUUUUAUCAGGAUGAACUUGCUUUGCUUGCACAAAUAAUAGCAAAAGUUUUGAGAAAGUAUUAUUCUUGCUUUGAGUGAAAGAAACAGGAGUAUGCAUUGUUCUGUAAACCAAACAAGGCCAUGGGGUCAAUCUAUGUCCGUCUCAAUCAACAUUAAAUGGCAUCGAGAGAAAGGAAACCCACCAUAAUGUAGAAACUAUAAAAAUGGUAUUACUCCAUAAAUUAACAUCAUCAGACAGGUCAGUACCAAAUGGCAAAAUUCUUAAACUAUAAACUUAGAUCAUCUUAACCAAAUAAGAAUAUCAGAAAAUUCACAAAUGAGAAUUUCAAGAAACACAAUAACCAUUGAAAUUGAAUGCAACAAAAGUAAAUUAGGUAAAAAGAAAUGGAAAACCCAUACAUUAUUUUAGUUGAAAUGCAACAAAUGGGAUCACCAUUGAGGUUCCUUUGAUACAAUGUCUAGUUUUCCAGUAAAGCCAAAUACUACUUGAAUGACCCUUUAUAUAUAUAUAUAUAUAUAUAUAUAUAUAUAUAUAUAUAUAUAUAUAUAUAUAUAUAUAUAUAUAUAUAUAUAUAUAUAUAUAUAUAUGCGAGCUGUGACACCGACUAACAACGGUGAGNNNNNNNNNNNNNNNNNNNNNNNNNNNNNNNNNNNNNNNNNNNNNNNNNNNNNNNNNNNNNNNNNNNNNNNNNNNNNNNNNNNNNNNNNNNNNNNNNNNNAAAGAAAGAGAGAACCCAUACAUUAUUUUAGUUGAAAUACAAAAAAAGAGAUAUCCAUAGAGAUUCCUAUGAUACACAGUCUAUUUUUCCAGUAAAGCCAAAUACUACUUGAGUGUCCCUUUAUAUAUAUAUAUAUAUAUAUAUAUAUAUAUAUAUAUAUAUAUAUAUAUAUAUAUAUAUAUAUAUAUAUAUAUAUAUAUAUAUAUAUAACUGAUAUGUGAAUACUGCUUACAGAAUUCAGUGGUUGCAAUGCCUGGACUGCCUGGAAUGCAAGCAGUGGCACUGAGUAUAAACGGUGAUAAAGCCAUGUUCUAUAAUGUCAGGCUCUUGGGGGCACAGGACACCCUCAUGGAUCUGUCUGGAACACACUACUUUAACCAGUGUUACAUCCAAGGAAGCAUUGACUUUAUCUUUGGUGGGGCAAGAUCAAUCUAUAAGGUAAAGGGGUUGAUCUUGAUCAUUUUGAUAAUAGAAAUUACUGUUAGUGCUUCAAUCCAAAUGUUGGGUAUUUCUGUAUGAUUCUGAUACUUGAAUUUGCUGUGUUGAACUAGGGAUGUGUCAUCGAAUCAAUAACGACAACUUCAGGAGCAAUUGCAGCUCAUCGCAUGGAAUCACCUAAUGAUGGCACAGGAUUCUCCUUUGUAAACUGCACAAUCAUUGGAAUUGGUAAGCCAAACCUGUUUUCUUUCUUAAUUAGUGUGUCACAUUGCAGGGUGAUGUUUCAAGCUACCCUUGCUAAAGUUGGUCACCAUUUGUUUAGGAGGGGAUGAUGGUAGUAUGGCAAUAGCCACAACACAAAUAAAACUGAAAACAACAACCAUCCCCUCUUCUCCCACUCAAACAAAUCACAAUCCCCACUUCCCAUUUGAAAACAUAACACUAAUUACAGCAUAUCCCACCUUCAAGCCCCCCCACAAACCAAAAGACGGGACAAGUUUAUCCCUAGAUACCAAAAAGGCUUGACAAUAGAAAACAAUUGAAAUUGAUAAAAUACAACAUAUCUAAGCAUUUAUCAAAAGCUUUAGACAAUAAAACAACAGUUUUCACAAUCAAUAGAAUAACUUGUCUUUAUUUCACUAAAAUAACAAUAAUACAAAUGAAUGACAACUUCUAGUCAAGUUUCUCAUUUAGUGUCAUGUGAUUAAUUUCACAUUUGAAUAAUUUCACAUUUGAAGAUAUAUGGGAGAGUCCCAUCUCAGCCCGCUACCAAAUUUAUUGACUAUUUUCAAUUCGUUUUAUUAUUUAAUCUAUUGGGUCUGUACGCAACAGACAUCUUAAUUUUGUUUUAUUUUUUCUUUCCUUUUAUUUCUUAUUUUCCUUAUAUUUUUUCUCAAAAUUUUCGAAAAUCAAAUAUAGUCUUAAAAUUUUAUAAUUUGUUCAUCUAAAGUUUCAAGAGGUAGCAUAGAUCAAGUGGUGCUGCAUGUACCUAGAAUUUGCCUUACACAUCUAAUAAAUAAGCAUAAUAUAUCACCUAACUAGAUUUCACCUUAUACAUGCAUCCAAUAAAUAUAAUAAUAAUAAAUAACCUACGGGAUGAGUAUUGCAUAUACUGUAAGGAAAUGCUUUUAUGUUUUCAUGAUUUUUUUCACUAAAAUGCUUUCAUAAGAUAAUAUUAGAUUUUAAAUAUAUGUACAUAUAAAAUCAUAAUUUACUUAUUUUAUUUAUAUUUAUAUUCUUUUAUAUUUAUGAAAUAUAUAUAUAUAUAAAAGGUGUCAUGCUUGUUUUUAACUUUUUAGUAAGCUUUUUCCAUUUUUUGUGUUUUCACAUUUUUGCUUUUUUAGCAUUUUUAUUUUGAUAAACCUUAUUUUCAAACUUUGUUUCUUUGUUCUAUUUAAAAAUAAAAAAUGAAAACAUUUUAAAGAAACAAAGCCUAUGUUAUUAAGAAAUUAUAAUUAUAUUUGUCCACACUUAAUUUGAAAUUUAAAUACUCUUAAUUUUAGAUUUAAAUUAUGAGAAAGAAUAGGAUAGACAUGAGAGACUCCUUCCAUGUAUUAAUUAAUAGAAAUAUUUGGGCCCAAAAAUAAGAUAAUUCUUGUAUUUGGACUAGUAAUAUUCGUUGACCCAAAAAUGUAAAUAUAACUUCAAGUUAGAUAUUUUUAUGGAUUUUAGUUUUAAUUGUAUUUUUAAUUUUAAUUUUUUUUAUUUUUUUGUUGAUGUUAAUUAACAAAUUUUUUAUUCAAUUUCAUUAGAAAAAAAUGAGAAGACAAUAAAAUUUAUAUAAUAUAAGAUAUAAAAUUAUUAUUAAAUAGGGGAUAAAAAAGAUUUAUUUAUCCCCGGAGAAUCUUAGAGAAUUUUUCUAGAAUGAUUUGUAUCUCAUGUUAUAUAAUAUAAAUCCAAUCAGGAAGCUUGCCUUCUGUUUGUAGAAAUAGUAACUAACUUUAAAAUCCAUUAAGGGAAGCUUUCCUAUUCGUGUCUGUCUCUCUGGUUUGUUCUUCUAUAUUAAGAACUGAACAACACAGAGAGGAGAGAAAAAAAUACCCAAUCUCUCCACAGUUUCAGUUUCUCUCUCUAUUCUCUGUAGUAAUUGAUUGACGAUCCCGGUUUCAAAACUUGGGGCGGUGAAUGGGAAACCGCGUUGUUCCCGGCGAUCUUCACUCCCUAACCAUCUUCGAGGAGCUGCUCAAGUGCUCCGUUUGUUUUGAAUAUAUGAACCGUCCAAUUUAUCAGGUGUGUAUGUUCUUUCUCUUUUCAUUUUUGGUGGUGGUUGGUUGCUGGGGAGGUUUUGUUUUGUUUUGUUUUUUUGCCUGAGAUGCACGGAUACCAAAUUGAAGUUGUUCAUUGGAUUAAAAUUUUUUAGAUGAUUUUAUUUAUUGGAUUUUUUUUUUUUGUUGAGUUGGAUUGAAUUGGAUUUGGUUAGAAGAAACAAGGUGAAUUUGUGGGGUAAAGGAUAUUCAUGAGUAAAAAAAUAUGAUUCUGGUGAGAAUUUGAGUUUUUUAGGCUAGUGUUUAUGUUAUUGAUAGGAUUGAAUGCUUUCCUGAGUUCGUUGAUUGAAUUCGCUUCUUUUUCCACGUAGUUUCUUGGUUGCAUGAAGUUGGUGAUGAAACUUACGAAUAACUUCCAUGCAUGCAUGAUAAAUUGUUAAGAGUCCAAUCCUAAAUCUUUCUGGCAAAAGGCACUAAAUUUGUAUUGCCCACUGGGUUUUAGAACUGCCUCUCCCUAUCCCUGGCCCCUGGGACCUGUAGUAAUUGAUUGACAUUACCGGUUCGCUUCCUUGCUCAGUUCCUUGGUUGUCAAGAAAGAGGAACGGUUUCUAGAACAGCAUACGCCUACCUCUAUGCAUCAAGCACUUGGAUCUCUUGGUAUGAGUAUUUGAGAAUUCGCGAUGCCAAUCUUCCGAGUGAGAUAAAGUCGUAAAAGGGUUUGUCUCACGUACCUUUUUAUUGACAGUAAAAUGAGUUUCUGCCUAUUUAAUUCCUAAUUCUACACCUUGCAAUGCCUUACAAAAACUAGGUGAUAGCUGAAACUCCUUUGAUCAGGGAAAAUAUGAUGAAGUAGGUGUAAAGGGAAGGUCAUUGGAAUUACAGAGAGAGGAGUAGAUGACAAACUAAUGGUGUAGAAACAGAGAAGAUGUUGGGAUUGCAGUGCCAAAGAGAAGAGACUAUCAAUAGGCCUUGUAACAGAUGGAUCUAGGAGGCAGACUUUUGGUGCAUGCGUAACUUUGUAUCAGAAAAA
rnacentral:lncRNA from 1 species